GAUGAAGAACGCAGCGAAAUGCGAUAAGUAAUGUGAAUUGCAGAAUUCAGUGAAUCAUCGAAUCUUUGAACGCACAUUGCGCCCGCCAGUAUUCUGGCGGGCAUGCCUGUUCGAGCGUCAUUUCAACCAUCAAGCCCCAGGCUUGUGUGUUGGGUCUCGUCCCCCGUGGACGGGCCCGAAAGGCAGUGGCGGCGUCCCGACAUGGUGCCCGAGCGUAUGGGAAUCCUCUUCCGCUCGAAUCGGCCCAUGCGGCGCUGGUCGUAACCAAAUUUUUUACCGGUUGACCUCGGAUCAGGUAGGGAUACCCGCUGAACUUAAGCAUAUCAAUAAGCGGAGGA
rnacentral:misc_RNA from 1 species